rnacentral:rRNA from 1 species
AUGGAGGCUGCCAUGUCUGCAGUUGCAGGCGAACUCCUAAGCCGGUUCGUCUCCUUCCUGAUGAACAAGUACCACUACUCCAGCCAUACACAGUCAGAGAAGAUGGUGGAGAGGUUGCAGCAUCUUCUGAUGAGAGCUUGCACCAUCGUCAAGGAGGCGGACACACGAUACAUAACCAACUCUGGGAUGAUGAUGCAGCUCAAGAUGCUCUCAGAGGCCAUGUACAGCGGAUACAGCGUGAUGGAUGCCUUGAGGUACCAAACCCUCCAAGACAGUGCAGGCUUCGACGAGGUUAGCACUAACGACACAUCUAGCAGCAGCUUGCAUUUCACCAUUCCUUUCAAGCGUUCUCGAACAAUAACUCAGAAAGAUGGCAAGGCCAUGCGCCAUGAGCCAUAUGGUGCCUUGGAAAGAUUAGAAGUUGCUCUUGCUAAUAUGGCAAAAUUUGUUGUGCUUCUGGGUGGAUGCGAGCGCAUGUCUCGCAGGCCAUAUGACCUUUAUCUUUACACCGACAACUUCAUGCAUGUUCAGCCGACACGCUGA